rnacentral:rRNA from 1 species
AUUGAACGCUGGCGGCAGGCCUAACACAUGCAAGUCGAACGGUAGCAGGAAGAAGCUUGCUUCUUUGCUGACGAGUGGCGGACGGGUGUGUAAUGUCUGGGAAACUGCCUGAUGGCGGGGGAUAACUACUGGAAACGGUAGCUAAUACCGCAUAACGUCUCAAGCCCAAAGAGCGGGACCUUCAGGCCUCUUGCCAUCGGAUUUGCCCAGAUGGGAUUAGCUAGUAGGUGGGGUAACGGCUCACCUAGGCGACGAUCCCUAGCUGGUCUGAGAGGAUGACCAGCCACACUGGAACUGAGACACGGUCCAGACUCCUACGGGAGGCAGCAGUGGGGAAUAUUGCACAAUGGGCGCAAGCCUGAUGCAGCCAUGCCGCGUGUAUGAAGAAGGCCUUCGGGUUGUAAAGUACUUUCAGCGGGGAGGAAGGGAGUAAAGUUAAUACCUUUGCUCAUUGACGUUACCCGCAGAAGAAGCACCGGCUAACUCCGUG